rnacentral:rRNA from 1 species
AUACGUAGGUGGCAAGCGUUGUCCGGAUUUAUUGGGCGUAAAGCGAGUGCAGGCGGCUCGAUAAGUCUGAUGUGAAAGCCUUCGGCUCAACCGGAGAAUUGCAUCAGAAACUGUCGAGCUUGAGUACAGAAGAGGAGAGUGGAACUCCAUGUGUAGCGGUGAAAUGCGUAGAUAUAUGGAAGAACACCGGUGGCGAAGGCGGCUCUCUGGUCUGUUACUGACGCUGAGGCUCGAAAGCAUGGGUAGCGAACAGGAUUAGAUACCCUGGUAGUCCAUGCCGUAAACGAUGAGUGCUAAGUGUUGGGAGGUUUCCGCCUCUCAGUGCGGCAGCUAACGCAUUAAGCACUCCGCCUGGGGAGUACGACCGCAAGGUUGAA